ACCGGCGCACGGGUGCGUAAAGCGAAUGCAAUCUACCUUUUACUGAGGGAUAGCCCAGAGAAAUUUGGAUUAAUACCUCAUAGUAUAGUAUAACCGCAUGGUUGAACUAUUAAAGUUCCAACGGUAAAAGAUGAGCAUGCGUCCCAUUAGCUUGUUGGUAAGGUAACGGCUUACCAAGACAACGAUGGGUAGGGGUCCUGAGAGGGAGAUCCCCCACACUGGUACUGAGACACGGAGCAGACUCCUACGGGAGGCAGCAGUGAGGAAUAUUGGUCAAUGGGCGCAAGCCUGAACCAGCCAUGCCGCGUGCAGGAUGACGGUCCUAUGGAUUGUAAACUGCUUUUGUACAGAAGAAACAGUUCUACGUGUAGAACCUUGACGGUACUGUAAGAAUAAGGAUCGGCUAACUCCGUGCCAGCAGCCGCGGUAAUACGGAGGAUCCAAGCGUUAUCCGGAAUCAUUGGGUUUAAGGGGUCCGUAGGCGGUUUUGUAAGUCAGUGGUGAAAGCCCAUCGCUCAACGGUGGAACGGCCAUUGA
rnacentral:rRNA from 1 species